GGAGCGGGGCCGCGCCGGGGGCUGCUGCGGGAGCAUCUCGCCCUGUCUUCGGCAGCCUGGCGGGGCGCGCGGCGCUCGGGUGCUCCUCUAGGCAGCUCUUCAGAAUUAGCAUCGGAAUAUAUUUUUACGCUGUCUUCGUGUUUUGUCGUUUACAAAAAGAAAGGAACCUGAGGAGCGCGGCGUCCGUGGAGCAAGGCCUCGAUGCUACGGCUGCUCUCGGGGGAAGAGCUGCCCGCCCUCCCGGCCCGACCGGCCCCGGGAGCUUCGGCUUCGUGGACCGAGGCCCCCCGCCGCACCUGCCUGUGGGAUCACGCCUGAAACAUGCUGGCUGCCCUCGCCCGCCCCCCCGGCGCUGCGCCCCAGUCGUGAAGCUGUCUCUGCGCUGUCCUGGGGACAACUGGGACAAUUUGUUAUUACUGUGAUUAGAAAUGCUCCUUGCUUGGAAGGAAACACUUAGCAAGUCUGGCAAAGAGACUGCUUAGCCCUUUCAUGGAAGAUUUCUUCAGAUGCAAAGCAGCUCCAAGGGAGACGUUCUGUUCUUUCAGAAUAACUGGACCCACUGGCAGGAAGCAGCUACGCUGAGCACCAAACAAGGAAACCACUUCCCAGUUAUCAAAACAUGCUGUUGAACUAAAUUUUGCAGCUGCAUUUUUUUUAAAUGUACCAUGG